rnacentral:rRNA from 1 species
GAUGAACGCUGGCGGCGUGCCUAAUACAUGCAAGUCGAGCGAACAGACGAGGAGCUUGCUCCUCUGACGUUAGCGGCGGACGGGUGAGUAACACGUGGAUAACCUACCUAUAAGACUGGGAUAACUUCGGGAAACCGGAGCUAAUACCGGAUAAUAUAUUGAACCGCAUGGUUCAAUAGUGAAAGACGGUUUUGCUGUCACUUAUAGAUGGAUCCGCGCCGCAUUAGCUAGUUGGUAAGGUAACGGCUUACCAAGGCAACGCUGCGUAGCCGACCUGAGAGCGUGAUCGGCCACACUGGAACUGAAACACGGUCCAGACUACUACGGGAGGCAGCAGUAGGGAAUCUUCCGCAAUGGGCGAAAGCCUGACGGAGCAACGCCGCGUGAGUGAUGAAGGUCUUCGGAUCGUAAAACUCUGUUAUUAGGGAAGAACAAAUGUGUAAGUAACUAUGCACGUCUUGACGGUACCUAAUCAGAAAGCCACGGCUAACUACGUG